AGCGGCGGACGGGUGAGUAACGCGUGAGUAACCUGCCUUCAGGAGGGGGACAACAUUCCGAAAGGGAUGCUAAUACCGCAUAACAUUACUUUUACGCAUGUAAGAGUAAUCAAAGUAAUUUCGCCUGAAGAUGGACUCGCGUCUGAUUAGAUAGUUGGCGGGGUAACGGCCCACCAAGUCGACGAUCGGUAGCCGGACUGAGAGGUUGAUCGGCCACAUUGGGACUGAGACACGGCCCAGACUCCUACGGGAGGCAGCAGUGAGGGAUAUUGGGCAAUGGGGAAACCCUGACCCAGCAACGCCGCGUGAGGGAUGACGGUUUUCGGAUUGUAAACCUCUGUCCUCUGUGAAGAUAGUGACGGUAGCAGAGGAGGAAGCUCCGGCUAACUACGUGCCAGCAGCCGCGGUAAUACGUAGGGAGCAAGCGUUGUCCGGAUUUACUGGGUGUAAAGGGUGCGUAGGCGGAUUGGCAAGUCAGAAGUGAAAUCCAUGGGCUUAACCCAUGAACUGCUUUUGAAACUGUUAGUCUUGAGUGAAGUAGAGGUAGGCGGAAUUCCCGGUGUAGCGGUGAAAUGCGUAGAGAUCGGGAGGAACACCAGUGGCGAAGGCGGCCUACUGGGCUUUAACUGACGCUGAGGCACGAAAGUGUGGGUAGCAAACAGGAUUAGAUACCCUGGUAGUCCACACUGUAAACGAUGAUUACUAGGUGUGGGGGGCCUAACCCCCUCCGUGCCGGAGUUAACACAAUAAGUAAUCCACCUGGGGAGUACGACCGCAAGGUUGAAACUCAAAGGAAUUGACGGGGGCCCGCACAAGCAGUGGAGUAUGUGGUUUAAUUCGACGCAACGCGAAGAACCUUACCAGGUCUUGACAUCCAACUAACGAAGCAGAGAUGCAUUAGGUGCCCUUCGGGGAAAGUUGAGACAGGUGGUGCAUGGUUGUCGUCAGCUCGUGUCGUGAGAUGUUGGGUUAAGUCCCGCAACGAGCGCAACCCUUGUGAUUAGUUGCUACGCAAGAGCACUCUAAUCAGACUGCCGUUGACAAAACGGAGGAAGGUGGGGACGACGUCAAAUCAUCAUGCCCUUUAUGACCUGGGCUACACACGUACUACAAUGGUCGUUAACAGAGGGAAGCAAUACCGCGAGGUGGAGCAAAACCCUAAAAACGGUCUCAGUUCAGAUUGUAGGCUGCAACUCGCCUACAUGAAGUUGGAAUUGCUAGUAAUCGCGGAUCAGCAUGCCGCGGUGAAUACGUUCCCGGGCCUUGUACACACCGCCCGUCA
rnacentral:rRNA from 1 species